rnacentral:rRNA from 1 species
GAUGAACGCUGGCGGCGUGCCUAAUACAUGCAAGUCGAGCGAACGGACGAGAAGCUUGCUUCUCUGAUGUUAGCGGCGGACGGGUGAGUAACACGUGGAUAACCUACCUAUAAGACUGGGAUAACUUCGGGAAACCGGAGCUAAUACCGGAUAAUAUUUUGAACCGCAUGGUUCAAAAGUGAAAGACGGUCUUGCUGUCACUUAUAGAUGGAUCCGCGCUGCAUUAGCUAGUUGGUAAGGUAACGGCUUACCAAGGCAACGAUGCAUAGCCGACCUGAGAGGGUGAUCGGCCACACUGGAACUGAGACACGGUCCAGACUCCUACGGGAGGCAGCAGUAGGGAAUCUUCCGCAAUGGGCGAAAGCCUGACGGAGCAACGCCGCGUGAGUGAUGAAGGUCUUCGGAUCGUAAAACUCUGUUAUUAGGGAAGAACAUAUGUGUAAGUAACUGUGCACAUCUUGACGGUACCUAAUCAGAAAGCCACGGCUAACUACGUGCCAGCAGCCGCGGUAAUACGUAGGUGGCAAGCGUUAUCCGGAAUUAUUGGGCGUAAAGCGCGCGUAGCGGUUUUUUAAGUCUGAUGUGAAAGCCCACGGCUCAACUGUGGAGGGUCAUUGGAAACUGGAAAACUUGAGUGCAGAAGAGGAAAGUGGAAUUCCAUGUGUAGCGGUGAAAUGCGCAGAGAUAUGGAGGAACACCAGUGGCGAAGGCGACUUUCUGGUCUGUAACUGACGCUGAUGUGCGAAAGCGUGGGGAUCAAACAGGAUUAGAUACCCUGGUAGUCCACGCCGUAAACGAUGAGUGCUAAGUGUUAGGGGGUUUCCGCCCCUUAGUGCUGCAGCUAACGCAUUAAGCACUCCGCCUGGGGAGUACGACCGCAAGGUUGAAACUCAAAGGAAUUGACGGGGACCCGCACAAGCGGUGGAGCAUGUGGUUUAAUUCGAAGCAACGCGAAGAACCUUACCAAAUCUUGACAUCCUUUGACAACUCUAGAGAUAGAGCCUUCCCCUUCGGGGGACAAAGUGACAGGUGGUGCAUGGUUGUCGUCAGCUCGUGUCGUGAGAUGUUGGGUUAAGUCCCGCAACGAGCGCAACCCUUAAGCUUAGUUGCCAUCAUUAAGUUGGGCACUCUAAGUUGACUGCCGGUGACAAACCGGAGGAAGGUGGGGAUGACGUCAAAUCAUCAUGCCCCUUAUGAUUUGGGCUACACACGUGCUACAAUGGACAAUACAAAGGGCAGCGAAACCGCGAGGUCAAGCAAAUCCCAUAAAGUUGUUCUCAGUUCGGAUUGUAGUCUGCAACUCGACUACAUGAAGCUGGAAUCGCUAGUAAUCGUAGAUCAGCAUGCUACGGUGAAUACGUUCCCGGGUCU